GACUACCAAGGGAGGCCUAGAGGUUCACCCUAACAUCCAAAAACAAACAAACCAACCAACCAGAACCACCACCUCAACCAGACUGCUUCCUCCCCUCCGGGGAUAACAACCUCCUCCCCUCGGGGAUAACAACCGCGCCACCGCCCAAGUUCCCAUUCCCCGGGCUCCCUGAGCUCACAAGGUCAGCGCACUCGACCUCAGGACUCCAAUUUCCACCUUCUCUACACGGGGGCUGCAUGACCUGGAUCAGCGAGGGAAAGCAAGGCCGGGCGAGCUGAGUUCCAUCUCCGGAACCCACACGAAGGUGGAAGGGAUAACCGACCCCGUACACCGGACACGCGCGUACGAUAAAAUUUCAAAAACGAA